GCGAACGCUGGCGGCAGGCCUUAACACAUGCAAGUCUAGCGGGCGUGCAGCAAUGACUCAGCGGCAGGACGGGUGAGUAACGCGUGGGAAUCUACCUAUUGGUUCGGAACAACGCAGGGAACUUGUAGCUAAUACCGAUAGUGCCCUUCACGGGGAAGAUUUAUCGCCGAAAUGAUCGCCCGCGUCUGAUUAGCUAGUUGGUGAGGUAACUGGCUCACCAAGGCUACGAUCAGGUAGCUGUUCUGAGAGGAUAGAUCAGCCACACUUGGGACUGAGACACGGCCCAGACUCCCUACGGGAGGGCAGCAGUGGGAAUAUUGGACAAUGGGGGCGAAACCCUGAUCCAGCCAUGCCGCGUGAGUGAUGAAGGCCUAGGGUUGUAAAAGCUCUUUCGAGUGCGGGAAGAUAAUGACGGUACCCGCUAGAAGAAAGCCUCCGGCUAACUUCGUGCCAGCAGCCGCGGUAAUACGAAGGGGGCUAGCGUUGCUCGGAAUUACUGGGGCGGUAAAGGUGCGUAGGCGGGUUUAUCAAGUCAGGUGGUGAAAUCCGGAGCUCAACUCCGGAACUGCCAUUUGAUAACAGAGUAGCUUGAGGCCGGAGAGAGGGUGAGUGGAACUUCCCAGUGUAGAGGUGAAAUUCGUAGAUAUUGCGCAAGAACACCAGGUGGCGAAGGCGGCUCACUGGCUCCGGUACUGACGCUCAGGCGCGAUAGCGUGGGGAUCAAACAGGAUUAGAUACCCUGGUAGUCCACGCCGUAAACGAUGAAUGCUAGCCGUUGGGCAGCUUGCUGUUCAGUGGCGGCAGCUAACGCAUUAAGCAUUCCGCCUGGGGAGUAGCGGCCGCAAGGUUGAAACUCAAAGGAAUUGACGGGGGCCCGCACAAGCGGUGGAGCAUGUGGUUUUAAUUCGACGCAACGCGCAGAACCUUACCAGGGUUUGACAUCCUGCGACCGCUCCCUAACAGGAGUUUUCCCGCAAGGGACGCAGAGACAGGUGCUGCAUGGCUGUCGUCCAGCUCGUGUCGUGAGAUGUUGCGGUUAAGUCCCGCAACGAGCGCAACCCCUCGCCUUUAGUUGCCAUCAUUCAGUUGGGCACUCUUAGAGGGACACGCCGGCCGACAAGCCGGCAGGAAGAGUGGGGAUGACGUCAAGUCCUCAUGGCCCUUACACCCUGGGCUACACACGUGCUACAAUGGACGGUGACAGUGGGCAGCUACUUCGCGAGAAGCGGCUAAUCCCAAAAAACCGCCCCAGUUCAGAUUGUACUCCUGCAACUCGAGUACAUGAAGGUGGAAUCGCUAGGUAAUCGCAGAACAGCAGGCUGCGGUGAAUACGUUCCCGGCCCUUGUACACACCGCCCCGUCACGGCAUGGGAGUUGGUUCUAACCUUAAGACGGUGCGCUAACCCGCAAGGGAGGCAGCCGGCCACGGUAUGAUCAGCGACUGGCCGA
rnacentral:rRNA from 1 species